UUAUUGCGCCCGCUGUGCAUACGGUGCACAC
rnacentral:sRNA from 1 species